UCCUGGGGUGGCCCAAAGUUGAUGGGGGAGGGAGGAUGGGGGAGGAGGAGGAGGUGGGGGAGGUUCUGAUGGGGCAAAUUUGGAGUUUUUGGGGGUUUUUAGGGGGAUUUUGGGGUGCCAGAGGGUUCUGGGACACCCCAAAAAACCUCGGGGGGCCCCACAAAGAUUUACAGGGGGGUUGGGAGGUCUUGGGGUGCCCCAGAGUUGAUGGGGGUGGGAGGAUGGGGGGGAUAAAGAGGAGGUGGGGGAGUCUGGGAGGGGCAAAAUCAGAAUUUUAGGGAGCCAAAAAGUUUUGGGAGGGUUUGGGGUGCCCCAAAUUUCACCAUGGGGGGAUUUUGGGGGUCCCCUGGAUCGCUGGAGGGCUCUGCACGCCUGAGACCCCCAAAAUCCUCCCCAAAAUACCCGGGGAGCCCCCCAAAAUCCGCGGGGAACCCCCAAAAUCCGCGGGGAACCCGAGGACGUGGAGGGGCCCGGGUGGGUUUGGGGGGCUCGGUGGAAUUAAAGGUUUUUGUUCCUUGGUUGGUGGCGCCUUUUUGGGGGAUUUUGGGGGGGUUUUUGGGGGUCUCUGAAGUGGAGGGGUCCCCAAGUUUUGCCUCGUGGGGUUUUGGGGGGUCCUGGAAGUUCAGGGAAGGGUCAGGGGGUCCCCAAGUUUUCUCCAUUGGGGUCCCCAGGAGGGGUCGGGGGUCCCCAGAUUUUGUCACUCCGGGUUUGUUUUUGGGGAGGGGUCUCCAAGCUUUAUCACCUCCCCCCUCCCCCACCUAUUUUUUGGGGGGGGUCCCCAGGAUUUCCCACCCCCCCAAACACGAGGCCACACAAAAAGGGGUGAAAUGAGUAAAAACGAGGUUUCCUUGUUUUUUUUUUUCCUUAAUUCCCAAAUUCCUCCCCCCCCUCCCCCGACGGACACACACAGAGGUGGGGGAGGGGAACACCCCAGAAUUUGGGGGUUGGUUUUUUUUUUUUGGGGAGGGGUCCCAGGGCUGGUUUAGGACCCCCCCAAACCAAGCCCGGGCUGAGAAGAGGAAGCGACAAAAGUGUAAAAAAACCCUAAAAAAAUCCCUAAAUAACCCCAAA
rnacentral:lncRNA from 1 species